rnacentral:rRNA from 1 species
GUAAAACUCUGUUGUCAGAGAAGAACAAGUUGGAGAGUAACUGCUCCAGCCUCGACGGUAUCUGACCAGAAAGCCACGGCUAACUACGUGCCAGCAGCCGCGGUAAUACGUAGGUGGCAAGCGUUGUCCGGAUUUAUUGGGCGUAAAGCGAGCGCAGGCGGUUCCUUAAGUCUGAUGUGAAAGCCCACGGCUCAACCGUGGAAGGUCAUUGGAAACUGGGGGACUUGAGUGCAGAAGAGGAGAGUGGAAUUCCAUGUGUAGCGGUGAAAUGCGUAGAUAUAUGGAGGAACACCAGUGGCGAAGGCGACUCUCUGGUCUGUAACUGACGCUGAGGCUCGAAAGCGUGGGGAGCAAACAGGAUUAGAUACCCUGGUAGUCCACGCCGUAAACGAUGAGUGCUAAGUGUUGGAGGGUUUCCACCCUUCAGUGCUGCAGCUAACGCAUUAAGCACUCCGCCUGGGGAGUACGGCCGCAAGGCUGAAACUCAAAGGAAUUGACGG